rnacentral:rRNA from 1 species
CCUACGGGUGGCUGCAGUGGAGAAUAUUGCACAAUGGGGGGAACCCUGAUGCAGCGACGCCGCGUGAGUGAAGAAGUAUUUCGGUAUGUAAAGCUCUGUCAGCAGGGAAGAAGAAAGACGGUACCUGACCAAGAAGCCUCGGCUAACUACGUGCCAGCAGCCGCGGUAAUACGUAGGGGGCAAGCGUUAUCCGGAUUUACUGGGGUUAAAGGGAGCGUAGACGGCAGGGCAAGUCUGUAGUGAAAGGCAGGGGCCCAACCGCUGGACUGCACUGGAAACUGUCCGCCUGGAGUGCAGGUGAGGUAGGUGGAAUUCGUAGUGUAGCGGUGAAAUGCGUAGAUAUUAGGAAGAACUCCAAUGGCGAAGGCGGCUUACUGGACUGUAACUGACGUUGAGGCUCGAAAGCGUGGGGAGCAAACAGGAUUAGAUACCCUUGUAGUC